GAUGAACGCUGGCGGCGUGCCUAAUACAUGCAAGUCGAGCGAACAGACGAGGAGCUUGCUCCUCUGACGUUAGCGGCGGACGGGUGAGUAACACGUGGAUAACCUACCUAUAAGACUGGGAUAACUUCGGGAAACCGGAGCUAAUACCGAAUAAUAUAUUGAACCGCAUGGUUCAAUAGUGAAAGACGGUUUUGCUGUCACUUAUAGAUGGAUCCGCGCCGCAUUAGCUAGUUGGUAAGGUAACGGCUUACCAAGGCAACGAUGCGUAGCCGACCUGAGAGGGUGAUCGGCCACACUGGAACUGAGACACGGUCCAGACUCCUACGGGAGGCAGCAGUAGGGAAUCUUCCGCAAUGGGCGAAAGCCUGACGGAGCGACGCCGCGUGAGUGAUGAAGGUCUUCGGAUCGUAAAACUCUGUUAUUAGGGAAGAACAAAUGUGUAAGUAACUAUGCACGUCUUGACGGUACCUAAUCAGAAAGCCACGGCUAACUACGUG
rnacentral:rRNA from 1 species